UUUGGGAGAAGCGUAGUUGUUCUUAUGGUUCUUCCGAGUUACCUGCCAUUUCCGACAAGGAUGUCGGAAAAGCUGCAAUGCGGACAUGGAGGUCUGCUUUGCAGCGGUGGCUGGUGGUUGAUAUUAAGUAUAUAAGAACCAUUAGGACAACUUGCUUUGAACAAU
rfam:Firmicutes bacterium CAG:882 genomic scaffold, scf221